ensembl:snoRNA small nucleolar RNA, C/D box 83A
GCUGUUCUGUGAUGAGGUCCUGGGAUGUGUGCUGGGCAUAGCACCCGAGUCAGACUGAGGAGCCUUUCCUUGUUGCCUUCCUUCUGAGAACAGC